UGGGGAAUUUUGGACAAUGGGCGCAAGCCUGAUCCAGCCAUGCCGCGUGCGGGAAGAAGGCCUUCGGGUUGUAAACCGCUUUUGUCAGGGAAGAAAUCCUCUGAGUUAAUACCUCGGGAGGAUGACGGUACCUGAAGAAUAAGCACCGGCUAACUACGUGCCAGCAGCCGCGGUAAUACGUAGGGUGCAAGCGUUAAUCGGAAUUACUGGGCGUAAAGCGUGCGCAGGCGGUUUUGUAAGACAGAGGUGAAAUCCCCGGGCUCAACCUGGGAACUGCCUUUGUGACUGCAAGGCUUGAGUGCGGCAGAGGGGGAUGGAAUUCCGCGUGUAGCAGUGAAAUGCGUAGAUAUGCGGAGGAACACCGAUGGCGAAGGCAAUCCCCUGGGCCUGCACUGACGCUCAUGCACGAAAGCGUGGGGAGCAAACAGGAUUAGAUACCCUGGUAGUCCACGCCCUAAAACGAUGUCAACUGGUUGUUGGGAAGGUUCCUUCUCAGUAACGUAGCUAACGCGUGAAGUUGACCGCCUGGGGAGUACGGCCGCAAGGUUGAAAACUCAAAUGAAUUGACGGGGUCAUAGCUGUUUCCUG
rnacentral:rRNA from 1 species